rnacentral:rRNA from 1 species
GCCGCGAAUUCGCCCUUAGGGUUUGAUUAUGGCUCAGAUUGAACGCUGGCGGCAGGCCUAACACAUGCAAGUCGAGCGGUAACAGGAGAAAGCUUGCUUUCUUGCUGACGAGCGGCGGACGGGUGAGUAAUGUAUGGGGAUCUGCCCGAUAGAGGGGGGAUAACUACUGGAAACGGUGGCUAAUACCGCAUAAUGUCUACGGACCAAAGCAGGGGCUCUUCGGACCUUGCACUAUCGGAUGAACCCAUAUGGGAUUAGCUAGUAGGUGGGGUAAAGGCUCACCUAGGCGACGAUCUCUAGCUGGUCUGAGAGGAUGAUCAGCCACACUGGGACUGAGACACGGCCCAGACUCCUACGGGAGGCAGCAGUGGGGAAUAUUGCACAAUGGGCGCAAGCCUGAUGCAGCCAUGCCGCGUGUAUGAAGAAGGCCUUAGGGUUGUAAAGUACUUUCA